GCAAAACCGUGGUAACAGCACAAGGUAAAGAUCACGAGGUUGGGACCCGACAGAAAAAGAGAAGGAUGACCUGCCCAACUGAGGCAAGUCUGUGCUUCGUUUUCUGAUGUAACGAGGUAAUGAGGAAACGAACUGCGAGCGGACUGCAGCAGGGAGGGCGGUGCCCUUACCCUGAGCCUUUGCUCAGACUCGGUGACAGGCUCUCUGCCUGGAGGCGCGUCCUGGCCCUCGGCCGCUGCGCUCCAAGAAGCCUCCGCGACUCCUCUCCCCCCACCUCGCAAGUCUCUCACACACCCCCUGCCCAGGCACAAGAUGCCGAGUGUCCUCACCUUUCCUUCCGAAGGCCCGGCUCCUGGUCCCCGGAGCUGCCCCCAGGCUGCCGAGUGUGAGGUCUCUUGUCAUUCCUGCUCCCAGACCUCGGGCAGACAUGCCCGCAGACACCCCUGUGAAUGCCAGGCUCCCAAGCUUUUCCUCCUUUGCUGAAAACUGCUUUCCAUCUCAGUGCCUCCAUCCUUGCUCUUGGCGUUCGAAGCCCUUUUCCUGUCCAGGAACUCAAGGUGGCUGUGUCCCUUCACUGAAGAAAGAAGCACAAGCUUUAGCGUCACCGCCCUGCAUCCCGCGCCGGUCGCUCCCGUGUUCAGGUACCGCAGGAGGCACCAACAGCAGUCUUCCGUCGCUUCACUUCGGCUCCUAAAGCAAAGACAUAGCAGCGGCCAGUCCCUGGGAAGCGCCCCGGCCCACAGAGCCAGCCGCUUUCAGAGAGUCGCUCCUGCGGGUCCCGAGCAAUACAGACGGGUAUUUAGGGCAAGGGGUCGGUCACGAACAGUGCUCUUGGCCAGGUGGUGGGAUGUCGCGGCUUUGGUCCUCAAAGCAGCUCCUCACGCCUUUCAUCUCCAUCAGCUACUGCACCGCCUGGCGGAGACAACGAAAGCGCCUUUCGGGAGGCCAGGUGUGAGGGCAGAAGGUUAAGAAAUUAGAAGUGAAGGAAGGCUUCUGACACGACACAGGAGGUUUGCGUACUGCAGGCUGCUGGUGUACCAAAAGAAUUUUUACUCGUGCACUGUACGUGCGGGGAGUUUGCGACAGUCAAGGCUUUAGUGAAAUAAAAUGAGGAAACUGUGUGGGGACAACGGAUAGAAGACAGAAGGCGUUCGUUGGACGGCGAGGAAGUUGUCUGACAUCCAGGAAGCAGGCAGACGCCCGGUCAGGAAGGCAAGAGGAGCGGCAAGGAGACGUGCGGCCGACAGCAGCCCCGCAUGGGGACAGAGCAGGGAAGGGGACAGAGCAGGGAGGAGGCCUGAGGUUCAGCUGCGCGAAGCGAGGCCCGCCAGACCCUAACGGACGGGAGCCGGGCCUCCUUGGGGACCGCGAGCUCAGGAAAGAUGGCACGUUCGUGUCUGCAGUGCUUUGGAGAGGCAGACGCAUUCAUCCAGUCAAUCAACAAACGCCGCUGCCGACUGCUCAGCGGGCACCCGAGCAGGAGGCGGGACUGAACUGUGACCCGCUCUCAUCAAAGCCUCCCUCAGGGUCCCAGGGCUGCGAACAUCAGACACAGUGCAACCACCAGAGCGAAGCUGUGUGGACUCUUCAGAGGGCUUACUUCGCCAGCAGGAUCGUGUCUGAAGGUGCAGGACUCGGGGAGACACCCCCCCAGGAAACGGGAAGCAAGCGGCCUCCAGAUGCCCGUCUCCUGAUGCCCUCAGCUGGGACGUCCAGCCCCAGACCUGGGAGACGCACGUGUCUGUGGUGUUUAAGUCCAGCCCAGGGAGGUCAAGGUCACGGGGCCGUCAAGAGGCUGUAAACAUGCACGAACACACGACAGAAGGCAGUGCGGGGGCUGCUCAACCAGCUCUGGACAUACGCGCAGCUAAGGGACAGUAUGUACGCACUGCUGGCGCCGUGGCACAAGGCGGUGUGUCACCUUCACUAAUUUUUUCGCCCCGUCGAGAAAGCAGUGCUGCUCUUUCUUCUCUUGCGCCAGCCACGCCUGACGCCAGUGACUCCACGGGCUGUGGCCCUCGUCCAGAGGAGGCUCUCACAAAGCCGGAAACGCGCGAGGCGGGGGCUGGGCGUGUGACCCCUGCCUGAGGACACCUUAUCAGCGCGUGAGGCAAGCUCGAAUCACAGGUUAGCCUCUCUAUUUUACGUUAUUUAAGGUAAUCUUCUCUAAUUAACACAAUCAGAGGAAAAUAAUACACUUUGGAGGCCAAAAAAGUGGCAUAUCUUAGAUCAAAGAUUUUGCCUGGUGAUUGUGUUUGAUUAUCCUUAAAAGCAUGCAUCGCAAGAGUUUCUAGAUUGUAGUAAUUUGAUUCUUGACUUUAUUUACUCUGUAUAGUCCUCGUUCUGAGAUUUAAAUCACGAGGCGACAGGGGUCUCCUUUCACAAUGUUUAUAACGUUGGUAGCCCAGAGGGCCGCUGUAUAAACGAGACAUUUUC
rnacentral:lncRNA from 9 species